UACGGGGGGAGCAAGCGUUGUUCGGAUUUACUGGGCGUAAAGGGUGCGUAGGUGGCGCCGUAAGUCGGGUGUGAAAUUUCGGAGCUUAACUCCGAAACUGCAUUCGAUACUGCGGUGCUUGAGGACUGGAGAGGAGACUGGAAUUUACGGUGUAGCAGUGAAAUGCGUAGAGAUCGUAAGGAAGACCAGUGGCGAAGGCGGGUCUCUGGACAGUUCCUGACACUGAGGCACGAAGGCCAGGGGAGCAAACGGG
rnacentral:rRNA from 1 species